GGGCUCGUGCCCCGAGGCUCCCUACGGCGGGGCUGGGGACUGCGGCUGCUGUCGUCCGCUCUGGCCCCCCCAACGCAACCCCCAACCUCAUCCCGAACCCACCGCCCGAGGGCACGGCUCCCGGGGCCGCCGUGUCCCCAGCAUGGUGCUGAAGGCUUUCUUUCCCACAUGCUGCACCUCAGCGGACAGCGGCCUACUGGUUGGACGGUGGGUCCCCGAGCAGAACAGCGCUGUGGUCCUGGCCGUGGUGCACUUCCCCUUCAUCCCCAUCCAGGUCAAGGAGCUCUUGGCCCAGGUGCAGCAGGCCAGCCGAGUGGGCGUGGCUGUGCUGGGCACCUGGUGCCACCGUCGGCAGGAGCCCGAGGAGAGCCUGGGCCAUUUCUUAGAGGGCCUGGGCGCCAUCUUCUCCCACGAGCCCUGGCUCCAGCUGUGCCGGGAGAGGGGCAGCAAGCUCUGGAGCUGCAAGGUCACCCACCGGCAGGUGCCUACCUCCCCCGAUGCCCCCGGCGAAGACCAAGUCAUGCUCAUCUUCUAUGAUCAGCGCAAGGUGCUGCUGUCCCAGCUGCACCCGCCCACAGCCCUGCCUGACCACCAGGCUGGGGAUGCCACGGCCAGCACUCGGGGCCUGGCUGCCGUCUUCGACACAGUGGCACGAAGCGAGGCACUCUUCCGAAGUGACCGGUUUGAUGAGGGCCUCGUGCGGCUGAGCCACUGGCAGUCGGAGGGUGUGGAGGCCAGCAUUAUUGUGGAGCUGGCCAAGCAGGCCUCGGGCCCCGUCUGCCUGCUGUUUGCCUACCUGCUGUCACUCAUCUCCGCUGCCAGCGCCUGCCGGGUGUUCAAGCUGUGGCCACUGUCCUUCAUCUGCAGCAAGCUCUCCACGUGCGAGCAGCUCAGGCACCGGCUGGAGCAGCUCACCUUCAUCUUCAGCACCCAGAAGGCCGAGAAUGCCUCGCAGCUGAUGAGGAAGGCCAACAUGCUUGUCUCCGUGCUCCUUGACGUGGCCCUAGGCCUCACGCUGUUGUCCUGGCUCCAUGGGAAAGACCGCAUUGGGCAGCUGGCUGAUGCCCUUGUUCCCGUGGCUGAUUGGGUGGCCGAGGAGCUGCAGCACCUGCUGCAGUGGCUGAUGGGCGCACCCGCCGGGCUCAAGAUGAACCGGGCACUGGACCAGGUGCUGGGCCGCUUCUUCCUGUACCAUAUCCACCUGUGGAUCAGCUACAUCCACCUCAUGUCCCCAUUCAUCGAGCGAAUCCUGUGGCACAUGGGCCUCUCAGCCUGCCUGGGCCUGACAGUUUCCCUGUCCAUCCUGUCGGACAUCAUCGCCCUCCUCACCUUCCACAUCUACUGCUUCUAUGUCUAUGGUGCCAGGCUGUACUGCCUGAAGAUCUGUGGCCUUUCCUCACUCUGGCGCCUGUUCCGAGGGAAGAAGUGGAAUGUUCUGCGCCAGCGGGUGGACUCCUGCUCCUAUGACCUGGACCAGCUGUUCAUUGGGACUUUGCUCUUCACCAUCCUGGUCUUCCUGCUGCCCACUACAGCCCUGUACUACCUGGUGUUCACCCUGCUCCGGCUCCUGGUGGUCACUGUGCAGGGUCUGAUUCAUCUGCUUGUGGACCUUACCAACUCCCUGCCGCUGUAUGCGCUCGGCCUGCGGCUCUGCCGGCCCUACAGACUCUCAGCCGGCGUGAAGUUUCAGGUCCUGGAGCAUGAGGCUGGCAGGCCCCUCCGCCUCCUGAUGCAGAUCAACCCCCUGCCCUACAAUCGUGUGGUACACACCUACCGACUCCCCAGCUGUGGCUGCCACCCCAAACACUCCUGGGGUUCCUUGUGUCGCAAGCUGUUCUUCGGGGAGCUCAUCUACCCCUGGAGGCAGAGAGGGGAGAAGCAGGACUGAGGUACCCUAGCCACCAGCCUGCCCAGCACCACUGCACGAUAUGGUCAGUCCUCAACCCCGCCAGGGUGGUGUUGACUGUCAGGUAGCAUGUGGCCCUAUACUCUACCUUCCCUGCCCCUACCGGGCCUUGCCUGUCACAUAUCCUCCCAACUGAGGCUGAAUUUGAGGUCAUAGGGGUGGCCAGCCUGGUCAGCUGGCCUGUGCUCCAUAUGACCUCUGUUUGCCUCAGGACCCACUUCCAAUCUGUUGCAAUGGCACUGUUAGCCCAAUCCCCCCUCCCUAAGUCUACCAAGGAGCCCUACCCUCCUGACUCUGCUCAGACCCAGACCCUGUCCAGGAGGGAUUUACAGAGCCCCACCUCUGCCCACCAUAUCUUUUCUCAGUGGGACGAGCUGACAGGUCUGGCUGCUCCAUGGUGGUCCAGCUCUGGCAUGGGUGGAGGGACUCCUCCCAGGUUGCACUCAACAUUUCCUGAGACUUGGACCCCAAAGCAUCUCCUUCCUUGGGGGUUUUUCUGCAGAUGCACUCCUGGGUCCCUGACACCUCUCAGCUGCCUCAGUGGAGCAGUGGCCAGUAUGGGUAAUCCAAGCCAUCACUGAACCCUGGCCCAAACCAGCAGCCUCACUGAGGCAGGACCCUCCAGGAAGUGGGAUGGAGUACUCCCCAUGCCUUAAAUUGCACAGUAUUACUUGUGAUGCUCCCUGGGGAGACUGCUUUGCAGAAGGAGCCAACCACAUGCCGUUGAGAAUCCCUGUGUGAAGCCAGGCCAUGUGGGGUGCUCAGAGCUGCCUUGCUAGAAGCUGAGUGCCCACCUACCCAGCUGCCCAGUUCCGGCCACAUACCUGCCCUGUGUCCCAGCAUCUUUUAGGAAGAACAGAGAAUGGAAGAAGGCCCAAGUGCUGGAAAGGCAAGCACUCGACAGAUUUUUAAGUGUCAGAGUGUGGACAGCUGGGUGCCAGAUCUCUGGGCAAGUGAAUAAAUGUAAACCCUGGACAGAGAUCUAAGCGGGGUGAUGAGCAGGUGUUUGUGAGCCCAGGAAGCCAUCAGGUGGUUCCUAGCUUGAGUAGCAACACUGGCUGAGGUGGGUCCGUGUUCCUUCUGGCAGUUCUUGGGGUCAUUAGCUGGUUCAUUACCAGCCUGGAUCUUCCCGGCAGCAGUUGUCUGUCAACUGAACCAAGGCAGGGUGAGUGCCUGCUACUCAGGUCUCUGCUGGGAGAGAUGGGUGACAGCUUGUUAUCAGGACUUAGUUGCUUUGUACAGCCUUGAGUGACUGAAGGAAAUGAUAUCUGACAGGGUGCUGAGGUUCUGUGUUUAGGUCC